UCCUACGGGGGGCAGCAGUGAGGAAUAUUGGUCAAUGGUCGGGAGACUGAACCAGCCAAGCCGCGUGAGGGAUGAAGGUACAGAGUAUCGUAAACCUCUUUUGUCAGGGAACAAAGGCGGGGACGUGUCCCCGGAUGAGUGUACCUGAAGAAAAAGCAUCGGCUAACUCCGUGCCAGCAGCCGCGGUAAUACGGAGGAUGCGAGCGUUAUCCGGAUUUAUUGGGUUUAAAGGGCGCGCAGGCGGUCUGUUAAGUCAGCGGUCAAAGCCCGGGGCUCAACCCCGGCCCGCCGUUGAAACUGGCAGU
rnacentral:rRNA from 1 species